rnacentral:tRNA from 1 species
CGGGGUAUGGCGCAGUCCGGUAGCGCGCUUGCAUGGGGUGCAAGAGGCCCUCGGUUCGAAUCCGAGUGCGUUUCGA